GGUGCCACAGACCGGUGACUCUCUCAGGUACAGGGCCAAACAAAGUCCCAUAUGUUGCGGAUGAGGAGUGGCGAUUAACUGUUGCUUCCUGAAGCACGGCACUGCACCCACCCUUCUUUAGACAUCAGCAGUUGCACAAGUGCUUAAAGUCUAAAGCGCUUCAGACAAUUUUGAACAUGAUGUGAAACAAAAUUUAUCCCAAAAUAUAUUAUCUAUGCCCUCAAGUUCCACUGAGCUCAAAAUAGGGCACAGCAAUUUACAAACUUCAAAUUCGCCUGAGGGUUUAAAGUGUCUUCAUCAGUCCUGCUGAAGUUCUUCUUUUUUUCUUUUCUUUUUUUUCCUUCUGACCAAUCCAAAGUGCAGACUAACUGUGUGUGUGUACAUACGCCUAUGUUCUGAGUACUUUAUCUUGAUGAUGAAAAUGGAAAUAGGCUUGCUGAAUGUCCCCCAAGGGCCACAGUCCUCAGCCCCUGGUUAGGAGCCUAUUUCAACCAUCAUUACCCUGAGGACCAUUAGGAAGAUGCCAUCUGCACACACAGGGCCCCUCCAUCGGGGCUUCUUGUCACUUCAAACUAAAAGCAAGCAGCGGAAUGGAAAUUGGAAAUAAAAUUACACACUGUGCUAAAUGCACCAUUAACCAUGCUAACUGAGCGACCGACCUAUCGGGGCCUGAAAAUGAGAGCUGGACGAAGAGCAAGCAAUUUUCAGCAGUGACAGGGAAAUGAACGCACUGCUGGUACUUUGCUCUCGCUCACAUUCACAACUAUAACUCACCCAUCAGCAGAAUGUGACUUUCCUAAUGGUAAGAGAAUGAAAAAAACAAAAAAAACAAAGAGUUGGUUCAUUGCGACUGUGGGCGACAACCACAAAUGAGGGCUGAAUGUAGAUUUGUAUGAACUGUGCACAGUACAGAUGGGACCACAGACCACCACUGCUGCUGCUUAAGCAUUGGAUACGUUACACAGAAGCAUCCCACUAGUCCUGCACAACAGCAGCAGCACCUUUCCUCUGGUUAGCGCACCAGUUACAUGUCAAAUAAAAUAACCUGAAGGCACACUGCAAUGUCCUCGCAGCAGCAAAGAGUGCCAAGUCAUUGUACAACUAGGGUAGGAAACCGCAAGCCAUUUGUGGCUUCAUCAUCCUAUGAUAUCACUGCAGCAGCUGUGAGGAGUGGGGACAAGGCAAAAAAAAAAAAAAAAACCCCAAAGAAGAUCACAAGAUCUAAUCACACUUUCUGCUUAAACAUCUGACUGCUCCAGGAAAACAUCAUGCCACAGCCAGAACAAAAAGGCACAUGCUAGACGAGUAAGUGCUGGCUCUGCUGUUCAAUCCAGGCAAAGCAACCCUUAAGCUGAAC
ensembl:lncRNA